rnacentral:rRNA from 1 species
UACGUAGGGGGCUAGCGUUGUCCGGAAUCAUUGGGCGUAAAGAGCGUGUAGGCGGCUCGGUAAGUCCGCUGUGAAAGUCCAGGGCUCAACCCUGGAAUGCCAGUGGAAACUGUCGAGCUAGAGUCCGGAAGAGGCGAGUGGAAUCCUGGUGUAGCGGUGAAAUGCGCAGAUAUCAGGAGGAACACCAAUGGCGAAGGCAGCUCGCUGGGACGGUACUGACGCUGGAGACGCGAAAGCGUGGGGAGCAAACAGG